rnacentral:rRNA from 1 species
UCGAAAGCAUGGGUAGCGAACAGGAUUAGAUACCCUGGUAGUCCAUGCCGUAAACGAUGAGUGCUAAGUGUUGGAGGGUUCCGCCCUUCAGUGCUGCAGCUAACGCAUUAAGCACUCCGCCUGGGGAGUACGACCGCAAGGUUGAAACUCAAAGGAAUUGACGGGGGCCCGCACAAGCGGUGGAGCAUGUGGUUUAAUUCGAAGCUACGCGAAGAACCUUACCAGGUCUUGACAUCUUCUGCCAAUCUUAGAGAUAAGACGUUCCCUUCGGGGACAGAAUGACAGGUGGUGCAUGGUUGUCGUCAGCUCGUGUCGUGAGAUGUUGGGUUAAGUCCCGCAACGAGCGCAACCCUUAUUAUCAGUUGCCAGCAUUCAGUUGGGCACUCUGGUGAGACUGCCGGUGACAAACCGGAGGAAGGUGGGGAUGACGUCAAAUCAUCAUGCCCCCUAUGACCUGGGCUACACACGUGCUACAAUGGACGGUACAACGAGUCGCGAAGUCGUGAGGCUAAGCUAAUCUCUUAAAGCCGUUCUCAGUUCGGAUUGUAGGCUGCAACUCGCCUACAUGAAGUUGGAAUCGCUAGUAAUCGCGGAUCAGCAUGCCGCGGUGAAUACGUUCCCGGGCCUUGUACACACCGCCCGUCACACCAUGAGAGUUUGUAACACCCAAAGCCGGUGAGAUAACCUUCGGGAGUCAGCCGUCUAAGGUGGGACAGAUGAUUAGGGUGAAGUCGUAACAAGGUAACCA